rnacentral:lncRNA from 1 species
GAAGCAGCCCAGAUGAGAGAAAAGGUGCUUUAACUUUGAUUGCUGCAGAUUUUCUUGGCGUUUAAGUGCUGAUGAAGCAGUCAAAACUGAAGAUCAGCUUUUGAUCAUGAAGAGGAGAUUAGGUCACAGAUGUUCAAUAAGGAAAGACCAUGUGAAGACACAAGAAGAUGGUCAUCUGCAAGCCAAGAGAAAUGUCUCAAAAGGAACUGGCCCUGCUGACAUCUUGACCUUGAAUUUCCAGCCUCAGGUUCUUGGAUGCUUGAUGGAAUUAAGGAUUUGAGAACAUGAGAACAAACAGGAAUAUGCAGGAAAUCUUGAGGACACAGGAGAUGAAGUCAACCUGUGGCCAAGGGAGAGGGAGGGACAUGAGAAGCUUUGUGAAAGAUGUCAGCGCAAACCUCAGGCAAGUGCCACCCAACCUAGAGCUGUGGAUUGAAGUUUGGCGUUGGGGUGUCAGCCUGUGAUUUCCUGAUCUCCAACUCCACUCCUCUUAAGUCACCCAGCCUAAGGCACUGAACCUCAUCAUCAGAACCUCAGAGUCCAACAUCUUGACCAUAGCCUUGCAACCCCACUGUUAGGUGAGUUUCAAGUUCUCACUCCCCAUAAACUUCUUCAGACCACUGCUCCCUCGAAUGACUUUGUUUCCUCCCAGGUCAUCAGUUUCCUUAGUCAAUUUCCAAGUCCUAUCAGUUGUAGACACUACGAUUGGUCAUCCCAUCUGAGUGACUAUUUCACUUAAACUUGCCUUUCCUCCUCUGUUUGCAAUAACUCUCAUACAUAGCUCUAGCUUAACAUCCACGUUGCCUUCUCUAUUCUUACCUCCAGGACAGCAGAACACUAAACAUUAAGUUCUUCAAUGCUAAAAAACAUCCUGUAAUCACGAAAAUCAGCCCAGUACAAAUUCAUGCUCACUACACGUGGUUCUCAGCUGCUGUGGGGCCUCUCUCUUCCCUUCAGUAUCCACAGACUUGCAACGUUCUUCUCAGCCUUCCUUCGCACCACUAAAUUAUCUCAUUAAGUCAGGACCAUCUGGUGGGAACUCCUUUAACUUCCCAGGGCCCAGGAAAAAUAAACCAUAUUUACCCAUGCCUCCCUCUUUCUCCAUGUGCCUUUUCAAGAAGAGAGGCUCUUCUCCCAGUGUCUCUCUCCCUGAUUCCAUAUCACCCUCUCUUCUUUGGGAUACUUCUCCAAAGAGUGUGGUCUUUCAGGUAUCCUUACUGUCUUAUGACUGAGUCAUUCCACUUGGCUUAUGAACCUCUUUGUUGCUUAUUCCAGGCACUCUGAGUCUCCCCUGCAUUCAGUCUCCCUUCAGCAUACAACACUGUUCAUGAUGCUUUUUGUAAAGCCCUCUGCUUCCCCAUCCUCCUUAGAUCUUCUGCUACUACUCUGGCCAGUUUUUUCUCUGUCUGCUGCUUCUCCUUCCCUUGACCUAUUACUUCCUUCCUCCUCCUGAAGAAAUCUGAUCUGCAGCUCCUCUUCUGUUUUCAUCAGUGUGCUCACUCUUGAUGCUGCUGCUCCUGCAGCUACUGCCAAGUCUCACUUGAUAGACAGUACCCACUCCAUAUGGGGCAAGAAUAAAAAUCACCAAAAAUAGACAGUUAUAAACAAAUGUCCCUGCCCAUAAGAUUUAUGUAAUCGUACUUUAUCCAUGUGUUAUAUUGCUAAGGACAUGGUGACUGUGACAGAUGUAACAUAAUAGAUGCAAUUGACAUAUACAGUAUUUCUUAUAGCUAAACUACAGCUAAGUUAUUAUAUUUGAAAAAUAAUAUAUGAGACACAUCAAUAAUUGGUUUCAUUGUUAAAAAUAUACACACAAAGCAUCUUA